rnacentral:rRNA from 1 species
GCACAAGCGGUGGAGCAUGUGGUUUAAUCGAAGCAACGCGAAGAACCUUACCAGGUCUUGACAUCCCGAUGCUAUUUCUAGAGAUAGAAGUUACUUCGGUACAUCGGUGACAGGUGGUGCAUGGUUGUCGUCAGCUCGUGUCGUGAGAUGUUGGGUUAAGUCCCGCAACGAGCGCAACCCCUAUUGUUAGUUGCCAUCAUUCAGUUGGGCACUCUAGCGAGACUGCCGGUAAUAAACCGGAGGAAGGUGGGGAUGACGUCAAUCAUCAUGCCCCUUAUGACCUGGGCUACACACGUGCUACAAUGGUUGGUACAACGAGUUGCGAGUCGGUGACGGCGAGCUAAUCUCUUAAAGCCAAUCUCAGUUCGGAUUGUAGGCUGCAACUCGCCUCCAUGAAGUCGGAAUCGCUAGUAAUCGCGGAUCAGCACGCCGCGGUGAAUACGUUCCCGGGCCUU